rnacentral:lncRNA from 1 species
GAGGAUUUGGGGGAGAGGGCGGUUAAAAAUUUUGUUUUUAACUUAUCUUUAUUGUUGAUUCAAGGAUUGCCCUUGAAUUUUUUCUGCAGAGGAUUUGUUAUUUUGCGGAAGGGUAGAUUGUGCUUCUGAAGGAAUUCUUGAACGCUUGUUGUGUUAAUUAGGGUUUCCUACCCUUUCCUUUAAGUUUGGACCGAACCUGGUCAGAAUUGACCCGACCCAUG